CUACGGGACGCUCCAGUAGGGAAUCUUAGACAAUGGGGGAAACCCUGAUCUAGCCAUGCCGCGUGAGUGAUGAAGGCCUUAGGGUUGUAAAGCUCUUUCGCUGGGGAAGAUAAUGACGGUGCCCAGUAAAGAAACCCCGGCUAACUCCGUGCCAGCAGCCGCGGUAAUACGGAGGGGGUUAGCGUUGUUCGGAAUUACUGGGCGUAAAGCGCGCGUAGGCGGGCUAUUAAGUCAGGGGUGAAAUCCCGGGGCUCAACCCCGGAACUGCCUUUGAUACUGGUAGUCUUGAGUUCGAGAGAGGUGAGUGGAAUUCCGAGUGUAGAGGUGAAAUUCGUAGAUAUUCGGAGGAACAUCAGUGGCGAAGGCGACUCACUGGCUCGAUACUGACGCUGAGGUGCGAAAGUGUGGGGAGCAAACAGGAUUAGAUACCCCCGUAGUC
rnacentral:rRNA from 1 species